GAUCUGGCGCCUGAUACUUGCUUUAACCUAAGAAUCCUAAGUGGGAGGUGAGCAAAGUUUCAGGUGUGUAGAUCG
rnacentral:pre_miRNA from 1 species